AAUGAACGCUGGCGGCAGGCCUAACACAUGCAAGUCGAACGAGUGGCGGACGGGUGAGUAAUGUCUGGGAAACUGCCUGAUGGAGGGGGAUAACUACUGGAAACGGUAGCUAAUACCGCAUACCCUCAGAUGUGCCCAGAUGGGAUUAGCGAGUUGGUGGGGUAACGGCUCACCAAGGCGCAGAUCCCUAGCUGGUCUGAGAGGAUGACCAGCAACACUGGACCUGAGAAACGGUCCAGACCCUAAGGGGAGGCAGCAGUGGGGAAUAUUGCACAAUGGGCGCAAGCCUGAUGCAGCCAUGCCGCGUGUAUGAAGAGGGCCUUAGGGUUGUAAACUACUUUCAGCGGGGAGGCGUUACCCGCAGAAGAAGCACCGGCUAACUCCGUGCCAGCAGCCGCGGUAAUAC
rnacentral:rRNA from 1 species